rnacentral:lncRNA from 1 species
UCCAUUUAACUAGUUAGCCAAAGAUCCUACCUUUAACCUUUCUUUAUUGCUAUUUUUUUUGUCUAUAUAUGCAGGUGUUCCAUGACUGUUGGUCGGCCUUCACAUAUAAAAUCACAUUAAUAAAGAAGUUAGCUUCAAAGAAAUAACGGCUCUCUUUUUGAAGGGCAGAGCAAGUCUGUGUUGACAUCAAUUCCAAUCUACACCUUUGAGCAACACC